rnacentral:rRNA from 1 species
UGUUGCGGCCAUAAUACCAUGGAGAACACACUGUUUCCCGUCCGAUAAACACUCGUCAAGCGUCAUAGGGCCACACCGAGUAGUUAAGUGGGAGACUAUAUGCGAAAUUGUGGUGUUGCAAUCU